rnacentral:tRNA from 1 species
GGGCCUAUCGCUCAGUGGUAGAGCAUUAGAGUGAAGAUCAAGAGGUCACCGGUUCGAACCUGGUUAGAUUUU